rnacentral:rRNA from 1 species
UAAUACGGAGGGUGCAAGCGUUAAUCGGAAUUACUGGGCGUAAAGCGCACGCAGGCGGUUUGUUAAGUCAGAUGUGAAAUCCACGAGCUUAACUUGGGAACUGCAUUUGAAACUGGCAAGCUAGAGUCUUGUAGAGGGGGGUAGAAUUCCAGGUGUAGCGGUGAAAUGCGUAGAGAUCUGGAGGAAUACCGGUGGCGAAGGCGGCCCCCUGGACAAAGACUGACGCUCAGGUGCGAAAGCGUGGGGAGCAAACAGGAUUAGAUACCCUGGUAGUCCACGCUGUAAACGAUGUCGACUUGGAGGUUGUGCCCUUGAGGCGUGGCUUCCGGAGCUAACGCGUUAAGUCGACCACCUGGGGAGUACGGCCGCAAGGUUAAA